rnacentral:misc_RNA from 1 species
AACGCACAUUGCGCUCUCUGGUAUUCCGGAGAGCAUGCUUGUUUGAGUAUCAGUAAAACACCCUCAAUUCUCUCUUUUUUGGAGAGAAUUGGAUUUGAGUUAUCCCAACGGCGGUGUUAAAACCGGUGGCGGGUCACUUGAAAUGCAGGUGCGGCUGGACACAUCUUCUGAGCUAUAAGCAUUACUUAUUUAGUCCCGUAAAACGGAUUAUUUCUACUGCUACAGCUAAUAUAAAGGUCGAUUGUCCGUUUGCCCGACUGAUGCAGAAAAAACAAAGAGAAAUCUUUGUUCACUCGAUCUCAAAUCAAGUAAGACUACCCGCUGAACUUAA